UCCGGAUCACCGCUGGGAGGGGUCAGAGGGCGUCCUCGGUCCUCCUCCCCAACUCCCUGUCAGAGCGCUUCUAUCUAAUGCCCUGGUUUUGGCUUUUUGGUUUUUUUUUUUUAAAGUAGGCUCCACUUGAACUCACGACCCUGAGCUCAAGACCUGAGCUGAGACUGAGCUACUCAGGCGCCCCUCUAGUGCCCUAUCUUCAACUCGGGGUCCCCAGAAACCCCACUGAGGCCAGCUGUAGGGCUGUUCACACACACUCCACUUCGCUUUCCAGCCCCGUGGGCGGACCCCUCAGGUUAGGUGUGGCCACGUGACUCGUCUUGACCAAUGAAAUGAGUGGCCAGGAGUCACUUCUGGGGGCCGAACGCCUUUAGGAGGCACAGCACGAUCACCAGGAUCCCUCCCGUCACAUCUCCCCACCGCCAUGAUGUGUCCAACAGCGAAGGUGCCCAGAGGGAGGGGACACCUGGGGAGGCCCCCCCCCCCCCAACCCACAAUGGCACACACCACGUGUUAAGCCACUCUGAUUCAGGGCUAUUUGUUACUGCGGCAUGACUCAGCCCAUUGAUACACCUCCCCUCUCGCAACCCAUGCACCCAGCCCUGCGAGCAGCAUACCAAUAUCUUCCCGGGUCUCAAAUUUGGAGCUGAUGGCCACCUGGUCAUUGCCCCGACCGAUGAUCUGGAGAGAGCGAGAGCCAUCACGAUGAAUGACCUAAGGCUCUGAGAAGGUGAGCUGCCUGCCCAAGGUCACACGGCAAAUAAACGGCGGAGGCAGGACUGAACCUGUCUGUCCGUGUCGCUAACCAGCAAGUAUGUUCUACCGGCCCCAGCCUCCAGGUCAGGCGGCUCCAGGAGAACGUGUCACCCCCACCUCGACAGCCACCAGCCCCUGGCGCGUCCCUCCCGGGGCACCUCCACAAAACCACAACGCAGUACACGGUCACCACCGGUCUACGACCCCCAAGGGCAAUUCCAAGAGCCAAGAAACUCCAGAAACUCCGGCUAUUUGAAUUUGGCACAAACACGUACGACAGCAGAAUCUGCUCCGACCGGAGUCUGUUCAGAGUCCCGGCUUGCCUCCCUUUGACGUCUUAAAACCUCUUCCUGCUAAAACACGACUUGCACUGGAGUGAGCUGCCCAGACCCCGCUGGCCAUGUUGACAUACCACACGGCACGUGCUUUGUUUUUAAAGUCUGGAAAAGUCUCAA